rnacentral:tRNA from 1 species
UCUCGAUUGGUCUAGUGGUCAGGAUACCUGCUUGUCAUACACUACGCAGGUGGCCGGGGUUCGAUUCCCCGAUCGAGAG